GACGAACGCUGGCGGCGUGCUUAACACAUGCAAGUCGAACGGAAAGGCCCUGCUUUUGUGGGGUGCUCGAGUGGCGAACGGGUGAGUAACACGUGAGUAACCUGCCCUUGACUUUGGGAUAACUUCAGGAAACUGGGGCUAAUACCGGAUAGGAGCUCCUGCUGCAUGGUGGGGGUUGGAAAGUUUCGGCGGUUGGGGAGGGACUCGCGGCUUAUCAGCUUGUUGGUGGGGUAGUGGCUUACCAAGGCUUUGACGGGUAGCCGGCCUGAGAGGGUGACCGGCCACAUUGGGACUGAGAUACGGCCCAGACUCCUACGGGAGGCAGCAGUGGGGAAUAUUGCACAAUGGGCGGAAGCCUGAUGCAGCAACGCCGCGUGCGGGAUGACGGCCUUCGGGUUGUAAACCGCUUUCGCCUGUGACGAGGCGUGAGUGACGGUAAUGGGUAAAGAAGCACCGGCUAACUACGUG
rnacentral:rRNA from 1 species